CAAUGAAUUUUAUUACAUGUGUAGUUGUACAAUGAUCAUCACAACCCAAUUUAAUAGCAUUUUUCUCCCAAACUCCAGCCCAUGUCCCCACCUCCCAAACUUUCUCAUUUAGAAACCAUAAGUUUUUCAAAGUCUGUGAGUCAGUAUCUGUUCUGCAAAGAAGUUCACUGUACCCCCUUUUUAGAUUCUACAUGUAAGUGAUAGCAUAUGAUGUUGGUGUCUCACUGUCUGCCUAAUUUCACUUAGCAUGAUAAUUUCUAGGUCUAUCCAUGUUGCUGCAAAUGCUGUUAUUUUCUUCCUUUUAAUGGCUGAAUAGUAUUCCAUUGUGUAUACAUACCACAUCUUGUUUAUCCAUUCUUCUGUCGAUGGUUGUUAAAACUUCACUACUGUUCCUAAUGUGUAAAUUCAGGAAAAGGUAAAUGACAAGCAAUGUGCCUUACCUAGUAUCACUUUCACAUUUCCCUAUGUCAAUAUUCUGCAUAGAAGUUGCCGUAGUGGAGUUCCCAUUGUGGUGCAGUGGUUAACGAAUCCGACUAGGAACCAUGAGGUUGUGGGUUCGGUCCCUGCCCUUGCUCAGUGGGUUAACGAUCCGGCGUUGCUGUGAGCUGUGGUGUAGGUUACAGACGCGGCUCGGAUCCCACAUUGCGGUGGCUCUGGUGUAUGCCGGUGGCUACAGCUCCAAUUAGACCCCUAGCCUGGGAACCUCCAUAUGCAGCGGAAGCAGCCCAAGAAAUGGAAAAAAAAAAGACAAAAAAAAANNNNNNNNNNNNNNNNNNNNNNNNNNNNNNNNNNNNNNNNNNNNNNNNNNNNACUGUAUAUAUAUAUAUAUAUAUAUAUUUUUUUUUACUGACUUGACUACACCAGCUUCCUGAAUAUAAGAAGUUUAUUCACUAUUAUAUAUCGAGUGAGUACAUGCAUACACAUUAUGCACGUAUUUAUCAAUAAAUAAUUGAUAAAUGAAUACAUUAUAAUGAACAUUUAAUUAUUAAAGGCUAUAUAUGGACAAGAUUCAUGUUUGCAAGUGAGCUUACAUCAUAUAAUCACAAUCAAUUAGCUUUGAUUACAUAAAAUUAAUAGACCAUACCUCCUUUCUUUCCAUUGAGGAAUAUAUAUGUUUCUAAUUACCUUAGUUAUAUCAUAGCAUAGUUAUAUCAAUUAAGACUUAAGAAUUAAUCUUUAAAGGCAUGAACUUUGCUGUAUUUUCAAAUUAACAGUGGUUAAUUUGUAUAGCAGUUAUGAAGAAUUAGGAUGUAAAAUUUAACAUGGAAUUUUCACACAUGGAUGCUAUGUAUUUUUUUUAUUGGUAGUCUACAUGAUCAACUCAGGAAGCCACUGAAAUGGCCAAAAUCAUGAGUCAGGUGAAUAAUAACAUAUCUCCAUAGAUUUUCUAUAAGUAGAGGAACAGAAGAUUUUAGGUCCCAUAAAAAGACAUUGAGGCUUACUUUCAGAAGUAAAGUAGUAUUUCUCUUGUAAACAGCAUAGAAUUUACUGUGUUUCUUUUAAGAAUAUUUGAUCAAUUGUUGAGGACUCUGCUUGGUGAAUAUCAUAUGACCUAUAGCUCCCUGUCUUUAUAUUAUUAUUUUUCAAAGCUUUAGAAUUUGGGGAUUCUUAUACCCUAAAUUUAAUAGUAGAUUUCUUUUCUUUUUUUUCCCUUAGUAUAAUGAUUUACAUGUGACAAAUUUGUCCUUCGAGAUUCUCAACUCUUUAAGUAUAUUGUUAAGUGCCCCAUAUACACACAAAUACAUAGCUCACCUAUAAUACUAUUAAGUGUGCUUAAUAACCACAAUCUGUUUCAAAUACACUAAUGCAAUAAUUACAGCUUAAAUUAUCCAGUGAGUGAUUAAAAGUAUAUGGUACCAUAUCUAUCUGACAUACUGUAUUCAACAUUAAUCUCUAUGUUUCUUAGCUUAGCAUAAAUUUGUAUACCAGAUGCCUUCUUGUAAUUAACACAUUGGGAUUUGGGAGCAGUAGAUUUUGCUGGUAACAAACUUCCCAUCAAGUCGACAUCUGUGAUUUAUACCUCCAACUCACUUUCAAUAUAUUUACAUAAUCAGUUCACUUUAAGCCCAGAUUAUACAUUCUUCUUACAUUUUUAUAAGCAGUAUCCCCUAAAGAUGGUUAAAGAGUAAAUCAAAGUGAAGUUUCUUUCUCCUCUCUUUCUAAUCAAAACACUUAUCAUGAACAUAUAAUCAAAUUUGCUGAUUACUUGCAUUUAUUUUAAAAGAAAAAAAAAUGUAUUCUGAUAAAUGGUAUAAAGACCAUAAUAGAGAUACUUUACUCUAAUUAGUAUCAACAUGAUCAAAUAACUUUUAUGUGCACAGACUUCCAUUUUAAAUAUAUUUUUAAGUUUUAAUAGAAUUUGGUCUUAAAUCAUUCUUUUGAAGCAUGUUUAGAUGUUA
rnacentral:lncRNA from 1 species